GCAGUCGACGACUCUGGUAUUGAUUGGUGCUUGCAUCAUGAUUUACAUUUGAGUGAGUGGCGAACUGGUGAGUAACACGUGGGAAACCUGCCCAGAAGCGGGGGAUAACACCUGGAAACAGAUGCUAAUACCGCAUAACAACUUGGACCGCAUGGUCCGAGUUUGAAAGAUGGCUUCGGCUAUCACUUUUGGAUGGUCCCGCGGCGUAUUAGCUAGAUGGUGGGGUAACGGCUCACCAUGGCAAUGAUACGUAGCCGACCUGAGAGGGUAAUCGGCCACAUUGGGACUGAGACACGGCCCAAACUCCUACGGGAGGCAGCAGUAGGGAAUCUUCCACAAUGGACGAAAGUCUGAUGGAGCAACGCCGCGUGAGUGAAGAAGGGUUUCGGCUCGUAAAACUCUGUUGUUAAAGAAGAACAUAUCUGAGAGUAACUGUUCAGGUAUUGACGGUAUUUAACCAGAAAGCCACGGCUAACUACGUGCCAGCAGCCGCGGUAAUACGUAGGUGGCAAGCGUUGUCCGGAUUUAUUGGGCGUAAAGCGAGCGCAGGCGGUUUUUUAAGUCUGAUGUGAAAGCCUUCGGCUCAACCGAAGAAGUGCAUCGGAAACUGGGAAACUUGAGUGCAGAAGAGGACAGUGGAACUCCAUGUGUAGCGGUGAAAUGCGUAGAUAUAUGGAAGAACACCAGUGGCGAAGGCGGCUGUCUGGUCUGUAACUGACGCUGAGGCUCGAAAGUAUGGGUAGCAAACAGGAUUAGAUACCCUGGUAGUCCAUACCGUAAACGAUGAAUGCUAAGUGUUGGAGGGUUUCCGCCCUUCAGUGCUGCAGCUAACGCAUUAAGCAUUCCGCCUGGGGAGUACGGCCGCAAGGCUGAAACUCAAAGGAAUUGACGGGGGCCCGCACAAGCGGUGGAGCAUGUGGUUUAAUUCGAAGCUACGCGAAGAACCUUACCAGGUCUUGACAUACUAUGCAAAUCUAAGAGAUUAGACGUUCCCUUCGGGGACAUGGAUACAGGUGGUGCAUGGUUGUCGUCAGCUCGUGUCGUGAGAUGUUGGGUUAAGUCCCGCAACGAGCGCAACCCUUAUUAUCAGUUGCCAGCAUUAAGUUGGGCACUCUGGUGAGACUGCCGGUGACAAACCGGAGGAAGGUGGGGAUGACGUCAAAUCAUCAUGCCCCUUAUGACCUGGGCUACACACGUGCUACAAUGGAUGGUACAACGAGUUGCGAACUCGCGAGAGUAAGCUAAUCUCUUAAAGCCAUUCUCAGUUCGGAUUGUAGGCUGCAACUCGCCUACAUGAAGUCGGAAUCGCUAGUAAUCGCGGAUCAGCAUGCCGCGGUGAAUACGUUCCCGGGCCUUGUACACACCGCCCGUCACACCAUGAGAGUUUGUAACACCCAAAGUCGGUGGGGU
rnacentral:rRNA from 2 species